UAAAUCCAGUGCUCCGAAGCACGGAAUAACUUGGCUCGUCGCGCCAAAUUCUUCCUUCUUCCCGUGCUGAAUCGUCCUUUCUGAUAGCAUAUAUCCACGUUCAAUCAGAGGAACCACAAAUCCUACCGCUGCCGCCGCAAAUCCAUCCCAGCCGCCCUGCUCCGGCCAUGUCUCGCCGGCCGGCGCGUAAUGGAUCUUCUGCAACUCUGGGCAUGCGCAGACAAGCUUCUCCAUCCCCAAUUCCCGUGUAUGCCCCCACCGCCGGACUAUGCCGGAUUUGGCACCAGCGCCUGGCACGUUUGGUGGGACGGGUCUGCUGCUAGUAGCCCUAAUCUUUCUUCUCCAGCAGAUUGGGUAAAUGAUGUUCACCCACCUAGAGAGGUCAUGUCUAAAACACUGCGGUGCUAGAAGUAUAAAAACACAUUUCACAUGAUAAGGUUGAGGCAUCACGGCUCACCCUGGAGACAGCGACGGAGAACAAGGAGGCCAAGACAAAUAUUGAGUCUACAUUUUACCUAAAUCCACGACAACUAUUUAGGACCAAAUGAAAUAAUAUAUACAACCUCUUGAUGCUAAAGAUCAUUUGUAUUUCGUAGAUGUACUAAACGUAGUAUUUGCAAUUAUCAUGUAACACAAUGUCAUCUACAUGGAUACUAGUUACGGUUGAUUCCUACAUUUUUGCAAGCAUUUAAUGUGCUAGAGAA